UGGGGAAUUUUGGACAAUGGGCGAAAGCCUGAUCCAGCAAUGCCGCGUGUGUGAAGAAGGCCUUCGGGUUGUAAAGCACUUUUGUCCGGAAAGAAAUCCUUGGCUCUAAUACAGUCGGGGGAUGACGGUACCGGAAGAAUAAGCACCGGCUAACUACGUGCCAGCAGCCGCGGUAAUACGUAGGGUGCAAGCGUUAAUCGGAAUUACUGGGCGUAAAGCGUGCGCAGGCGGUUUGCUAAGACCGAUGUGAAAUCCCCGGGCUCAACCUGGGAACUGCAUUGGUGACUGGCAGGCUAGAGUAUGGCAGAGGGGGGUAGAAUUCCACGUGUAGCAGUGAAAUGCGUAGAGAUGUGGAGGAAUACCGAUGGCGAAGGCAGCCCCCUGGGCCAAUACUGACGCUCAUGCACGAAAGCGUGGGGGAGCAAACAGGAUUAGAUACCCUGGUAGUCCACGCCCUAAACGAUGUCAACUAGUUGUUGGGGAUUCAUUUCCUUAGUAACGUAGCUAACGCGUGAAGUUGACCGCCUGGGGAGUACGGUCGCAAGAUUAAAACUCAAAUGAAUUGACGGGGUCAUAGCUG
rnacentral:rRNA from 1 species